rnacentral:piRNA from 1 species
UCCUACUAAAAUUUAUUAAUU